GAGGAAGAGAGUGAGAGAGAGGAGCAUCGCACCCAACCCACCGCCAACCACCACCACCACUGCCGAUGACACCGGCGAAGAAGACGCCUCCACACUGCUGACCACCACAACCUCCGUAUGCCGACGAGCUUCGAACCACAAUCACUGGUAUUGAUUUCGAACGCUGACAAAGAACUCGACCACCACCGUUGCCGCCGUACGCCAACGAAGAUUUUUUAGAAGAAUCCUACCAAGAUCAAGAAUUUUGCUUUUGAUCGCAGACUCUCAAAGACACUGGCUUUUGACUUGUUCUUCUAUUGAUAUCCAUAGCGAUGGAAAGUUGGAAAGGAAACAGGUAGCAAAGCUAUCUUAUCUUUUUCAGUGCACUGAUAAAUAGUAUCUGGGCAUGAAACAAAAAGUGGGUGUAACCUUCGGCAAAUUCUGUGGAUAAUUAUUGCUUGUUUAGCGAUAAUAGCUAGCCCAUGGCCAUAUUGUAACUUAUUUUUGUUGAAUUUACUCUGGGUGAUUGAGAAGUUAAACUAACUUGAGAUGA